rnacentral:lncRNA from 1 species
CUCCGUGGCUACUUCUCCUCCGCCACUCUUAGCCGCCUCGACCAGCUCCGAGUCCUGAGCCUCGAGAACAACUCCCUCUUCGGCCCCGUCCCCGAUCUCUCCGCUCUCGUUAACCUUAAAUCUCUCUUCCUCAGCCGGAACGAGUUCAACGGACCUUUCCCUCCUUCGAUUCCUUCCCUUCACCGGUUAAUGAUCCUCUCUCUCUCCCACAACAACUUCACCGGUCAGAUUCCAACUCAGAUAACCGCUCUCGACCGGUUAACUUCAUUAAAUCUCGAGUCUAACCGCUUUAACGGCACGCUCCCGUCGCUUAACCAGUCGUUUCUGACGUCCUUCAACGUCUCCGUUAACAACUUAACGGGAGUCAUCCCCGUUACACCGACUCUGUCUCGAUUCGACGCGUCGUCGUUUAAGUCCAACCCGGGGCUGUGCGGGGAGAUCAUCAACCGAGCUUGCGCUUCUUCACGCUCUCCCUUCUUCGGGUCGAGUAACAACAAAACGUCGUCGUCUUCUUCCUCCUCGCAGGCUCCGUUGGGGCAAAGCGCGCAGGCGCAGAACGGAGGAGCGGUGGUUAUCUCUCCGGUUGUUUCGAAGAAGAAAGGUAAAGAAAAUGGGUUAGUACUGGGAUUCACCGUCGGUCUCGCGUCGCUCAUCGUCCUCGGUCUCUGCCUCGUCGUCUUCUCUCUAGUGAUAAAGAAACAAACCAAAGACGAGAUUUACGAACCGAGUCAAAAAGGAGACGCGUCAUCCUCCUCUCACCAGAAUCAAGCUCUGAGUACAAGAGCCGUACCAGUUUUGAAUCCGAACUCAAACUCAAGCUCCGUGGAGAAGCUUCAGUUUCGAGCCGCCGCCGCCACGGAGCCGCAGAGCCGAGUCCCAAACAGCGGGAAUCUGAUCUUCUGCGGCGGGGGCGGGGAAGGAGGGGAGUCGAGUCAAGGGAUGUACACUCUCGAGCAGCUGAUGCGAGCCUCGGCGGAGCUUCUGGGGAGAGGAUCGGUGGGGAUUACGUACAAGGCGGUGUUUGAUAACCAGCUCAUCGUGACGGUGAAGAGACUAGACGCGGCUAAAACGGCGGUUACAAGCGAAGAGGCGUUCGAGAAUCACAUGGAGAUUGUUGGUGGACUCAGGCACCAGAAUCUUGUUCCGAUUAGAGCUUACUUUCAGUCAAACGGAGAGAGACUCAUCAUCUUCGAUUACCAACCCAAUGGCAGCCUCUUCAAUCUCAUUCACGGUAACUCUUCUAUCUUCCUAGGGUUUUAGUUUUGAACUCAGCGAGUCACCACCGAGUUGAAGAUUUACUUUACUUUACAUUAAUUAAAGAUCAUUAGUUUAAGGUCUUAAUCAAUGAUGACGUGAGAAAUCGUAAGUUGUUUCGACUAUACUUUAUUUUAAAAAACUUAAAACCCUAAAGCGCACGAGUCUUUUCUGUGUGGCGGGUUUUGUGUUUGUGCACAGUUUAGUAGUGAGAACUUGAUGAACUGAAGCUGACCACACAGCGACAAUCGCGGGUCUUACUUUUUGUAAUAAUAUUUAUUUUUUUAAAAAGUUUUUGUUCGUUUGCUCUUUUUUCUUCUGAAGUCUUCGUUGAAAUUACUUAGCAUUAGUGGAAGAAGACAGAAACCUGGUGGAACUCUGUGCUUUUUUCUUCACGUGAAAUCUCAUCUUUUUGCCAUCACUCUGUCUCUACACCUUGCGUUAGUGCCGGACAAAUAUUAAACUAUUUUUUUUUUACAUGCACUUGUUUGAUGAACCUUACGAAUUACAUUAAGAGUGUUUGCUUCUUGCUCCUGUAUUGGACCCAACACCAAAUGUGACUAACUAACUCCAAUAUUUUCACAGGUUCUAGAUCCUCGAGAGCAAAGCCAUUACAUUGGACAUCAUGUUUAAAGAUUGCAGAAGAUGUUGCCCAAGGCUUGUACUACAUUCACCAAACAUCGUCAGCAUUAGUCCAUGGAAACCUUAAAUCAACUAACAUCCUCCUCGGACAUGACUUCGAAGCUUGUUUAACUGAUUACUGCCUCAGCGUCUUAACAGAUUCAUCUUCUUCUUCUAAUGAUGAUGAUCCGGACUCUUCCUCUUACAAAGCCCCUGAGAUCAGAAAAUCAUCUCGUAGACCAACUUCCAAAUGCGACGUCUACUCGUUUGGUGUCUUGAUCUUUGAGCUUUUGACCGGUAAGAACGCGUCCAGGCAUCCGUUUAUGGCGCCUCAUGAUAUGCUUGAUUGGGUUAGAGCAAUGAGAGAAGAAGAGGAAGGAGCAGAGGAUAAUAGGCUUGGGAUGAUGACUGAAACAGCUUGUCUUUGCCGUGUGACGUCGCCCGAGCAAAGACCGACGAUGAGACAAGUGAUCAAGAUGAUUCAGGAGAUUAAAGAGAGUGUUAUGGCGGAAGAGAACGAUCCUUUCCAGUGAAACCAAUCUCGUAGGGCUUCCUCCGACCAGUUUUCCCAAGGGAGGGGGUUAAUUUAGUCAAAAAGGAGAAUAUAGAUGCGUAAAUGUAAUUACGGGAUCCACUUCAAAGCCCCAAACUCUCCCCUAGUCCAAACGGACAAAGAGCUUUGCAAAAAAAAAAAAAAAAAUGUCACUGAAGUUUUUUCUCUUCUUCCUCCUCCUCCUCCUCUUCCUCCAUGUCUCCGCCGGAUUCUCAUCAUCGGAGCCGAACUACUUCAACUCCUUGCUUCCUUCCGACGCAGUCGCUCUACUCUCUUUCAAAUCCACCGCCGAUCUCGACAACAAGCUCCUGUAUUCCCUCACCGAGCGUUACGACUACUGCCAAUGGCGCGGCGUCAAAUGCGCACAGGGCCGCGUCGUUCGCCUUGUCCUCUCCGGCGUCGGCCUCCGUGGCUACUUCUCCUCCGCCACUCUUAGCCGCCUCGACCAGCUCCGAGUCCUGAGCCUCGAGAACAACUCCCUCUUCGGCCCCGUCCCCGAUCUCUCCGCUCUCGUUAACCUUAAAUCUCUCUUCCUCAGCCGGAACGAGUUCAACGGACCUUUCCCUCCUUCGAUUCCUUCCCUUCACCGGUUAAUGAUCCUCUCUCUCUCCCACAACAACUUCACCGGUCAGAUUCCAACUCAGAUAACCGCUCUCGACCGGUUAACUUCAUUAAAUCUCGAGUCUAACCGCUUU